UUUCCGUAGGUGAACCUGCGGAAGGAUCAUUAUUGAAUGAACUUGACUUGGUUGCUGCUGGUCUUUUCGAAGGCAUGUGCACACUUUGUCAUCUUUAUAUCUCCACCUGUGCACCUUUUGUAGACCUGAAACCAAAUUUCCGAGGCAACUCGGUCGUGAGGAAAUGCUUAGCAGCUUUCCUUGUUAGGUUCCAGGGCUAUGUUUUCAUAUACACCAUAAGAAUGUAACAGAAUGUCAUUAUUAGGCUUAGUUGCCUUAUAAACUAUAUACAACUUUCAGCAACGGAUCUCUUGGCUCUC
rnacentral:misc_RNA from 1 species